rnacentral:rRNA from 1 species
GGUCAAGUUAUUAAGGGCUUACGGUGGAUGCCUUGGGACCAAAAGCCGAUGAAGGGCGCGGCAAGGCUGCGAUAAGCCUCGAUGAGCCGUCUAGUGGGCAUAGUCGGGGAUACCCGAAUUGGGAAACCUUAUCCGGUGUUGAGUCGGAUAAUCCUUCUCGCAAGGGAAGGAGGGCAAGUGGGGGAACUGAAACAUCUAAGUACCCCGAAGAAAAUAAAUCAACCGAGAUUCCCCUAGUAGUGGCGAACGAACGGGGAUCAGCCUAAACCGGCAUGACUUAGUGGCAUAAGGGCCUAUGUCAUACCGGGGUUGUAGGGAUCGUCUAGAGCCCCCUUAUGAGGCUCGAAGGAGUUACAAAUCUCAUUCCUAGUCGAAGGAUCCUGGGAAGG